CGGCGAGUGAAGCGGCAACAGCUCAAAUUUGAAAUCUGGCCCCAGGCCCGAGUUGUAAUUUGCAGAGGAUGCUUUUGGCGCGGUGCCUUCCGAGUUCCCUGGAACGGGACGCCAUAGAGGGUGAGAGCCCCGUCUGGUUGGAAACCAAGCCUUUGUAAAGCUCCUUCGACGAGUCGAGUAGUUUGGGAAUGCUGCUCAAAAUGGGAGGUAUAUGUCUUCUAAAGCUAAAUACCGGCCAGAGACCGAUAGCGCACAAGUAGAGUGAUCGAAAGAUGAAAAGCACUUUGAAAAGAGAGUUAAAUAGCACGUGAAAUUGUUAAAAGGGAAGCGUUCAUGACCAGACUUGGGCCGGUUAAUCAUCCAGCGUUCUCGCUGGUGCACUUUGCCGGUCCAGGCCAGCAUCAGUUCGUUGCGGGGGAUAAAGGCGUCGGGAAUGUGGCUCCUCGGAGUGUUAUAGCCCUUCGUGUAAUACCCUGCGGUGGACUGAGGUUCGCGCUCUGCAAGGAUGCUGGCGUAAUGGUCAUCAACGACCCGUCUUGAAACACGGACCAAGGAGUCGUCUUCGUAUGCGAGUGUUCGGGUGUAAAACCCCUACGCGUAAUGAAAGUGAACGCAGGUGAGAGCUUCGGCGCAUCAUCGACCGAUCCUGAUGUUCUCGGAUGGAUUUGAGUAAGAGCAUACGGGGCCGGACCCGAAAGAAGGUGAACUAUGCCUGUAUAGGGUGAAGCCAGAGGAAACUCUGGUGGAGGCUCGCAGCGGUUCUGACGUGCAAAUCGAUCGUCAAAUAUGGGCAUGGG
rnacentral:rRNA from 1 species